GCGAGAUGGACUCAUGUGGCUGCCCGUUAAUGGAGGAGGCAGGGAUUAAACAAGAUCACAAGUAGCAUCACUUGGGAUUUAUCAGGAAAUGUCUGAAAAGCACUCUGUUUGGUGAGAGACCUUCACCAAGAGAUCAAUGAGUGGCCACUGUUUGCAUGAGGUCCUGAGUGUGGGCGACACCAUGGUCAAGCCAUCGACUGGAAUCAGAUGUUUGCAUUCAAAUUCUGGCUCUGCUACUUGUAAGGCCUGUGACCUUAGCUGAUUUAUUUGACCCUUUGGGCCUCAGUUUCUCGAGA